AAAAGGAAUUGACGGGGGCCCGCACAAGCGGUGGAGCAUGUGGUUAAUUCGAAGCAACGCGAAGAACCUUACCAGGUCUUGACAUCCCGAUGCUAUUUCUAGAGAUAGAAAGUUACUUCGGUACAUCGGUGACAGGUGGUGCAUGGUUGUCGUCAGCUCGUGUCGUGAGAUGUUGGGUUAAGUCCCGCAACGAGCGCAACCCCUAUUGUUAGUUGCCAUCAUUCAGUUGGGCACUCUAGCGAGACUGCCGGUAAUAAACCGGAGGAAGUGGGGAUGACGUCAAAUCAUCAUGCCCCUUAUGACCUGGGCUACACACGUGCUACAAUGGUUGGUACAACGAGUUGCGAGUCGGUGACGGCGAGCUAAUCUCUUAAAGCCAAUCUCAGUUCGGAUUGUAGGCUGCAACUCGCCUACAUGAAGUCGGAAUCGCUAGUAAUCGCGGAUCAGCACGCCGCGGUCGAAUACGUUCCCGGGCCUU
rnacentral:rRNA from 1 species